rfam:Nematostella vectensis strain CH2 x CH6 NEMVEscaffold_2491_Cont42033, whole genome shotgun sequence.
GUUGCCGUGGCCGAGUGGUUAAAGCGUUGGACUAGAAAUCCAAUGGGAUCUUUCCGCGCAGGUUCGAAUCCUGCCCACAACG